rnacentral:misc_RNA from 1 species
UCCGGUUUGUCACCGGCAGUCUCGCAUGAGUCCCCAACUAAAUGCUGGCAACAUGCGACGGGGGUUGCGCUCGUUGCGGGACUUAACCCAACAUCUCACGACACGAGCUGACGACAACCAUGCACCACCUGUGCACGGCCCUUACGGACCUCCCAUCUCUGGGAGAUUUCCGUGCAUGUCAAGCCUAGGUAAGGUUCUUCGUGUUGCGUCGAAUUAAACCACACGCUCCGCUGCUUGUGCGGGCCCCCGUCAAUUCCUUUGAGUUUUAGCCUUGCGGCCGUACUCCCCAGGCGGGGUGCUUAAUGCGUUAGCUUCGGCACGGAGAGGGUUGAAGACCUCCCCACACCUAGCACCCAACGUUUACGGCUGGGACUAC